AUAUUUGUAAAUCUAAAGCAGAAAGGAACACAGAUAGAACUCACCACACAUGUGCGGGCUGGCGAGAGUACUUUGAAGGAGUUGGGACGAUUGUUGAAAUUUGUUUC